rnacentral:misc_RNA from 1 species
GACGUAGGGGGCGAGCGUUGUCCGGAAUUAUUGGGCGUAAAGCGCGCGCAGGCGGCCCGGUAAGUCGGUUGUGAAAACCCGGGGCUCAACCCCGGGCCUGCAUCCGAUACUGUCGGGCUAGAGGCAGGUAGGGGAGAUCGGAAUUCCCGGUGUAGCGGUGAAAUGCGCAGAUAUCGGGAGGAACACCGGUGGCGAAGGCGGAUCUCUGGGCCUGUCCUGACGCUCAGGCGCGAAAGCUGGGGGAGCAAACAGG